UUUUAAAUGGCCGCAGUAUUUUGACUGUGCAAAGGUAGCAUAAUCAUUAGUUUUUUAAUUAAAAGCUUGUAUGAAAGGCUGGACGAGGUAAAAUCUGUCUCUAUUUAAAUUAUAGUAGAAUUUAACUUUUAAGUUAAAAGGCUUAAAUAUUAUUAAAAGACGAGAAGACCCUAUAGAUCUUUAUAGUUUAUUAAAUUAAGUUAAUUUAGAAAUAUUAAUGUUUUAUUUAAUUAAAUUAUUUUAUUGGGGUAAUAAAAAGAUUGAAUUAAUUCUUUUUUAUAAUAAACAUUAAUUUAUGAAUAUUAAUGAUCCAGUUUUACUGAUUAUAAGAUUAAGUUACCUUAGGGAUAACAGCGUAAUUUUUUUAGAGAGUUCAUAUCGAUAAAAAAGUUUGCGACCUCGAUGUUGGAUUAAAGAUUAUUUUAGGUGUAGAAGCUUAAUAAUUUUGGUCUGUUCGACCAUUAAAUCUUUACAUGAUCUGAGUUCAGACCGGCGUAAGCCAGGUCGGUUUCUAUCUUUAAUAAAAUAAAAUAUUUUAGUACGAAAGGACCAAAUAUUUGAUAUAUUUAUAUUUAAUUUAUUGAAUAUUA
rnacentral:rRNA from 1 species